rnacentral:rRNA from 1 species
UGAGGAAUAUUGGUCAAUGGACGAGAGUCUGAACCAGCCAAGUAGCGUGAAGGAUGACUGCCCUAUGGGUUGUAAACUUCUUUUAUACGGGAAUAAAGUGAGGCACGUGUGCCUUUUUGUAUGUACCGUAUGAAUAAGGAUCGGCUAACUCCGUGCCAGCAGCCGCGGUAAUACGGAGGAUCCGAGCGUUAUCCGGAUUUAUUGGGUUUAAAGGGAGCGCAGGCCGUCCUUUAAGCGUGCUGUGAAAUGCCGCGGCUCAACCGUGGCACUGCAGCGCGAACUGGAGGACUUGAGUACGCACGAGGUAGGCGGAAUUCGUGGUGUAGCGGUGAAAUGCUUAGAUAUCACGAAGAACUCCGAUUGCGAAGGCAGCUUACCGGAGCGCAACUGACGCUGAGGCUCGAAAGCGCGGGUAUCGAACAGGAUUAGAUACCCUGGUAGUCCGCGCGGUAAACGAUGGAUGCCCGCCGUUGGGAUUUAGGUUUCAGCGGCCAAGCGAAAGCGUUAAGUAUUCCACCUGGGGAGUACGCCGGCAACGGUGAAACUCAAAGGAAUUGACGGGGGCCCGCACAAGCGGAGGAACAUGUGGUUUAAUUCGAUGAUACGCGAGGAACCUUACCCGGGCUUGAAUUGCAGGAGAACGAUCCAGAGAUGGUGAGGCCCUUCGGGGCUCCUGUGAAGGUGCUGCAUGGUUGUCGUCAGCUCGUGCCGUGAGGUGUCGGCUCAAGUGCCAUAACGAGCGCAACCCCUGUCCAUAGUUGCCAUCAGGUCGUGCUGGGCACUCUGUGGAGACUGCCGCCGUAAGGUGUGAGGAAGGUGGGGAUGACGUCAAAUCAGCACGGCCCUUACGUCCGGGGCUACACACGUGUUACAAUGGGGCAUACAGCGAGUUGGAUGUGCGCAAGUACGUCCGGAUCAAUAAAGUGCCUCUCAGUUCGGACUGGGGUCUGCAACCCGACCCCACGAAGCUGGAUUCGCUAGUAAUCGCGCAUCAGCCAUGGCGCGGUGAAUACGUUCCC